GGCGGGGCUUGGGUCAGGCUCCUGGGAGAAGCAGUGACGAGGCUGGGUGCCUGCAGGAAGACCCUCAGCUGGCUGCAUGUUCAGCCCUGCAGGUGGGUCGUGCUCCUGGGAGGAGCAGCGAUGAGGCUGAGUGCCUGUAGGAAGACCCGUGGCUGGCCGCAUGUUCAGCCCUGCAGGGUUAGGUAAUUUUGUGCCCAGCAGAGCAGGGCGGUGCUCUGUCCUCUGGGAAAUACUGCCUUCCUGGAAUGUUCCCUCCAACCCAGAGUGCUGAGAAGGCUGGCAGGAUAGAGGCCAGAACAUGUCUGACGUCAGCGCCAGCCUGGACGGAGAGCUCGGAUCCCAGAGAAGGCUGAGCACAGGGAGGAGAGGGGCAUGGGCCUCUGCAUUUGAGCUGCUCUCGUCCUGAAGUUUGUGCCCUGGGCCCUGUGAGAACUCAGGGGCCAGCCUGUGACACCCCGGCCAGGCCAUGCGAGGGUGGCGCCGGGACGCCGCCCUCUGCGGCUCCUUUGGGGAGCACUGACCAGCACUCAGGGAUGGAUCCGUGCAGCGAGUUGUCGAGAGGAGAGAGUGGAGGAGGACUCCGCAGUAUCCCGGCUGAUGCAUAUUGAGUCAUCCAGAGGAGAGAGAGGGGGAGGACUCCGCAGUAUCCCGGCUGAUGCAUAAUUUGUUCUUCUUAUGCAUUUUACCACCAUUUUGGCUAGCAUUUGGUGCUUCAAGGAACAGCUGUUAGAAGCGAAAAUCAGAGAAAAAGGCAUUUGCGUUUCAAAGGCUUCGCUUUGUGGAUGACACAUCCCAGAGAUAGGAGGAACUCCUGGCAGCAGCCAUAGAUUUGGAAGGAUGCAUCCCCAUCAGAGUUAGAACUUUAAGUUUGGAGACUCUUCUUAAAUUUCACUGAAGUGGAGUGAGAACUGAAGUGGUGGCAAAAAAGGAUGCUCAGGGCACUGCACAUGAGAGAGAAGUCUCAACAGCUGCAGAGGAACCUCCACUUCCCUCCCUCUUCUGCCCCAUCCUCCCUGCAUCUACUGGCUGCCCAGCGCUUGACACGACUCAGCUCAGGGAGCAGGAUCGGGGAAAGGAGCCCUCCUGCCUAACCCUCAACGCAGAAAGAGCAGCGGCUGCGCCAGGACUCCCCAUGAAGUGAAGUGGAAACGAUUUCACAGCAAAUGGGGUGGAUGGCCAGGGGCUCCUGUCAGGUCUGAGACCCGGGGCCGGGAGUGGGCUGGGCAUGUGAGCAGGGCCCCAAACCAUGGGCAUUGGUUCCUGCUUCCUCUACUGUUUCUAUUUUGGCACCUGCUUGAAAGCAGUUCUUCAUCAUCUGGCUAGAUUGUCACAGUUUGGGGUAAAAGAGAAAUAAAACAGGCAACUUCUAUUUCAAUCUGUUCUUGCUGCUGCUUCUAACCGCUGCUUUGUUUGCGCAGUGGGUGGGAUGCACAGGGGCCCUCCAAACUCCAAUCUUGACGUGCCCGCGGGGGCUUUGUGGGAGGCUCCUGCUAACCAGGUUUGGGAAAACCACCAGGCAGUCCUGGCAGUCUGGGCAAGGCCAGGGCUUCCAAGGAAAGAGAAAUGUCUAAG
rnacentral:lncRNA from 1 species